UAUUUUCACGUUAACUGAAAAUUUUCCGUCAUUGAUGGAAUUUUUUUAGCAGUGACGGAAAAAAUCUGCAGCCCGUCCGUCAUUUUGACAGAUUAUGUAGCUUGUAACUGUAAUUCCCACCCCUGUCCAGUAGGUGGUGAGUGCGCUCCAGCAGCAGAGCGUGAGUUCAGUCUCCAGAAUAAAAUGAAAACGAUGCGCUUGAUUACACAGAGUUAAGUCAAUUUUAUAAUAAUAAAGUUACUUAUGCUUACUUACAUAAUUAAGUUUUGUUAUUUUUCUCGCUGACUACACUCAAAAAAAUGAUUCUUGCCACUAAUUGAAAUUAAGCAAACCAUUCAAAUAAAAUGUAUUUAAAAACGUAUAAAAUAACUAUUAUUAUUCUAAAUUACUUUUAUACAACAUGAAUGAAAUGGAUUCAAGACCAACCUGAUCAAAUUACAUAAACUAUACUUAAUUCAUUGCCAUAAGGCGCAAAUGCAAGUGUUGCGCAUGCUCAUUGGAGUCUGGAGUCAAAUAACAACAACUGAAGGCGGCAAACUGGCAACGGUGAUCUACUGUCUGACUCAGCGAAAAGGAGGAUUUGGAUGCAUAGAUGUGGAUGUUUUCAAGAAACCUCAUAAUUUUGGGACAAUAACUCAAUUACUAUUUGUGGCAACGUAAAGUGUGUGGAAGAAGUAUCGCUGAAGUAUCCGUAGGUGGUGAGUGCGCUCCAGCAGCAGAGCAAACCUCAUAAUUUUGGGACAAUAACUCAAUUACUAUUUGUGGCAACGUAAAGUGUGUGGAAGAAGUAUCGCUGAAGUAUCCGGUAUGUUUAAGUAAUUGAAACAUUCUUAAACAUUGACAUUUUGAGGAGAGAUUCAGGCAACCUGUUCACAGUAAAUGAAAUAAAAGCAGAAUUUAUGUGGAUAAAGACUGCCACUUCUGUCACCGUUCAUAGCAGCUGGACAGAUGCAAGUUGUGUGCGAAGACAUACACAUCAAACGAGACUGUGUCAUAAAGAGUCUGUGUGUGUAUCUCAAUGGGGACAUUACAACACUUGUCAAAAAAUUCCAGGACUGCAAUCCUGAAGGAGAUGAGGGAGGAAUUUCUGAGACCACUCUGUGACCCUUAAAGUGCUGAGUACUAGCCAGACGAUGUUGGAGUAGCAACAGAGGGUGUAAAACUGCUACAACACUUAAGAGUUUUUCCUUUGGAUUAAUAAUGCUGUUCAGAUUGAUCUACUCACUCAAGUUACGCUCAGAGUCUCAAAUUCACAUUUGAAUUCUUCCAGAAGGUAAUGAUGAAUUUGGACUUUAGGACAUCACACAGAUGUUUCCAUCCCCUGGAAGGACAUUGAAAACUUUUAAACUUGUUCUGUAAUGUUGAUUUGAAGACAGUACAAUCGAUGACACUAUGAACCGAUGACACUAACUCAAAUCAAGAGACUGCACCUAAUGCACCUUCUGGCUUCCUCUCUGAUACAUUUAAACACAUUAAAUUUUUUGUUCACCAAAACAUGAACAUUCUGUCAUUUAUUACUCACCCUCAUGUCGUUCCACACCCGUAAGACCUUCGUUCAUCUUCAGAACACAAAUUAGGAUAUUUUUGAUGAAAUCCAUGAGCUAUCUGGCCUCCGAUAGACUGCAAUACAACUAUCACUUUCAAGGUCCAGAAAGGUAGUAAAGACAUCAUUAAAAUAGUCAACAUGACUGCAGUGGUUCAACCUUAAUAGUAUGAAGCGACGAGAAUACUUUUUGUGCGCAAAAAAAAAAAAAAAAAAAAAAAAAAAAAAAGACUUUAUUCAAAAAUGUCUUCCCUUUUAUGUCAGUCUCCUACGCAGUUGAUGUUGUACACACAAAAUAUCUUAAUUUGUGUUUUGAAGAUGAACGAAGGUCUUAGGGGUUUGGAGCAACAUGAGGGUGAGUAAUUAAUGACAGAAAUUUCAUUUUUGGGCGACUAAACCCAAAGAUAUUAGCCCUUGUGCUAUUCCUUGUCCAGGAAGUUAACUUGUGAGUAGCACACUUGGGCUACUGAAUGCCUAAAUGCUGAAAUUUGACGGACAACAGAAAACCUGUUAUAUGUAAAGUAAAUUAUAAUCCUUCAGAUUGCUUUUCUUUUUUCCCCAAGUGUCCUGAUUGUUUAUUUGUUUGAACAAAUGUUUACAAGGAAUGUAACCAUUUACAGAUCUGUAUCAAGUUUUAGAUAAGUGAAAGCACAAACUGAUGACAAUACUAUGCAGUGAGAUCCCAAUAUUACCUUGAAAUUGUGAAAAUAAUGUUUGAUGUUGAAAUUUGGUUCCAUGUUGAUCUAUGAACUUGUUGGCACACAGCCAUAACCAUUGUGUUAGUUUGGGAGAAGGCACAAAACUGCAGUAAACAGUUGCCUUAAUUUGUGAAAUACUGCAUUAUGUUCUAUUUUUUUUUUGUCAGAUUGGAUGUUUCUUAUUAUUCCUGGAGCAAUUGUGACAAUAAAUGUUUAUAAAAUGUAACACGUGUUUGACCAUUUAUUUAAUAUAAAUAAAGAAAUGUAAGAUAGUUAUAUAAAGCAAGUAAGAAUAAGUUAUUUGAAAAGAGUAAGGUUUAUGUAUUACACAAGCUUAAAUUGCAGUUUAUCAGUUAACAUAACCUUUAUUUAAUUCAUUCAAGUCAACUGAACAUGAUGGGGAAGCUUAAGUAAAAGUUAACUUUUUUACGUUGGAUUUAUGUGAUUAAAUUGGAUGGAAAUUUUAUAUGCAAUUGAAUUACAUAAGUUUUAACUUUUGGGGUUAAA